GCAUCCCCCGAAGGUGGCCCCUAGUUGCCAACUAUGACCUUUUGCCGGAUAAGCAGAGAGCGAAAAAGUUACUGGUCAAUGCUAGAAAAACUCAGGUCAUAACUUUCGAAACUACUCCAGCACCAACAGUCCUACCCCCCUCCCGCAGCGCAAAUCUUUGCCCUGUGAGUCAUUAAAGAUCAAUUAGAUAAAGAUACAUUUAUCAACAAUUCAAUCAACUUAUUUAAUGACAGUGGAAACAGACAAGAGUACUAGUCACGCAGAUAGAUUUUUUUUUUUUUUUAGUAAACGAGCAUAAUAUAUUCAU
rnacentral:lncRNA from 1 species